GAUGAAGAACGUAGCGAAAUGCGGUAAGUAGUGUGAAUUGCAGAAUUCAGUGAAUCAUCGAAUCUUUGAACGCACAUUGCGCCCUUUGGUAUUCCUUAGGGCAUGCCUGUUCGAGCGUCAUUUAAACCUUCAAGCUAAGCUUGGUGUUGGGUGACUGUCCGCUUCACGGCGGACUCGCCUCAAAAUUAUUGGCGGCCGGUACAUUGGCUUCGAGCGCAGCAGAAACGCGAACUCGGGCCCGUCGUAUUGGCUCCCAGAAGCUAUCUUCACAAUUUUGACCUCGGAUCAGGUAGGGAUACCCGCUGAACUUAAGCAUAUCAAUAAGCGGAGGA
rnacentral:misc_RNA from 1 species